rnacentral:rRNA from 1 species
GGAUCCACACUUUGAUCCUGGCUCAGGAUGAACGCUAGCUACAGGCUUAACACAUGCAAGUCGAGGGGAAACGACAUCGAAAGCUUGCUUUUGAUGGGCGUCGACCGGCGCACGGGUGAGUAACGCGUAUCCAACCUGCCCACCACUUGGGGAUAACCUUGCGAAAGUAAGACUAAUACCCAAUGAUAUCUCUAGAAGACAUCUGAAGGAGAUUAAAGAUUUAUCGGUGAUGGAUGGGGAUGCGUCUGAUUAGCUUGUUGGCGGGGUAACGGCCCACCAAGGCGACGAUCAGUAGGGGUUCUGAGAGGAAGGUCCCCCACAUUGGAACUGAGACACGGUCCAAACUCCUACGGGAGGCAGCAGUGAGGAAUAUUGGUCAAUGGACGAGAGUCUGAACCAGCCAAGUAGCGUGCAGGAUGACGGCCCUAUGGGUUGUAAACUGCUUUUAUAAGGGAAUAAAGUGAGUCUCGUGAGACUUUUUGCAUGUACCUUAUGAAUAAGGACCGGCUAAUUCCGUGCCAGCAGCCGCGGUAAUACGGAAGGUCCGGGCGUUAUCCGGAUUUAUUGGGUUUAAAGGGAGCGUAGGCCGGAGAUUAAGCGUGUUGUGAAAUGUAGACGCUCAACGUCUGCACUGCAGCGCGAACUGGUUUCCUUGAGUACGCACAAAGUGGGCGGAAUUCGUGGUGUAGCGGUGAAAUGCUUAGAUAUCACGAAGAACUCCGAUUGCGAAGGCAGCUCACUGGAGCGCAACUGACGCUGAAGCUCGAAAGUGCGGGUAUCGAACAGGAUUAGAUACCCUGGUAGUCCGCACGGUAAACGAUGGAUGCCCGCUGUUGGUCUGAAUAGGUCAGCGGCCAAGCGAAAGCAUUAAGCAUCCCACCUGGGGAGUACGCCGGCAAC